ACCUACCUAUAACUGAGGGAUAGCCCAUAGAAAUGUGGAUUAAUACCUCAUAACAACUAAAGAUGGCAUCAUCUUAAGUUUAAAACUCCGGUGGUUAUAGAUGGGCAUGCGUGACAUUAGCUAGUUGGUGAGGUAACUGCUCACCAAGGCAACGAUGUCUAGGGGUUCUGAGAGGAUGAUCCCCCACACUGGUACUGAGACACGGACCAGACUCCUACGGGAGGCAGCAGUGAGGAAUAUUGCGCAAUGGAGGAAACUCUGACGCAGCCAUGCCGCGUGCAGGAUGACUGCCCUAUGGGUUGUAAACUGCUUUUAUAUAGGAAGAACUACAGAUACGUGUAUUUGUUUGACGGUACUAUACGAAUA
rnacentral:rRNA from 1 species